CAGUGGAGUUUGAAAUGUUAACGAACGCGUAUGCAGAAUAUGUGCAUAUAUUUAAGAAAAAAUAAAUAAAUGCCGUAGCAGCAGCAAAAGAACGUGAGUUAGCGUGGCAGAAAAUUGCUGACCAAGUCAAUGCGCACAAAACCUACUUGGCAGCCACUGAAGAUGAAAUAUACAAAUAUACUUCAAACAGGUAUGUACUUUCUUGGUAAAUAUGCCCAAAAGAAAAUCUGAGAUAUACGGGAGUGUGAGGCAUCAGAGUAUAUCGCUCAAGCCUGACGUCAGUUCCACUUCGAGAGUAACCAGAGAACGUGCAACAUGACAGACCAGCAAAUAAACUUUAAAUAUGGGAGGACCUGAAGAUUAUCAGUGUUAUUAUUCUUCAACAUGAAUUCAUUUGAAUCAAUAACUAAAGUGAUUUAAUCUGUCAUAUGGUAAUCACCCCCAGGUUUCACCCGAAGUGUCGUGGCUGUGUACAGGGUGUUGGUAUGUUGAUUGUUUUACACCAUGUUCAGCGGACAAUUCUGUCAGCAAGAAUUGAAUGGUAAACCUUUAAGCUUUAAUGUCUUGUACCCUAUGUGGCAGCUUCAAUUCCUAGUUACAUAUUAAGCCUACAUUCAGCACCUCCCAUGAAAUGAAGGAGUGGACAUUUUACUGGUAGACCUGGACCUCUUGGCCUUCUCUGUAUGUCUGCAUGACACUGGACAUCACAGAUGGAGGAAGAAAUGCACUUAUUCUCUGUACCAAGUCACAAAACUCAAGAGGAUCGGGUCCUUGGAAAGUUACUGUUCCCUGUCCUUGGUGGGAGAACUGUGUUCCAUUGUGGACUGUAGGGUUCUAAACUGCUGCCUUCUUUACCUGGACACUUCAAGGUCAAAGACCCACUGCAUCUUCUGUCGUUCUGCCCUUAACCCACUGUUAACUGCCUUGCUCAGCCGUCAUUGUAAAUAAGAAUUUGUUCUUAACUGACUUGCCUACUUAAAUAAAGGUUCAAUCUUAAGAACCCGAGUUUUUGUCCUUUACUGAUCUGUUCCCCCAAGGCUUAAAAAGUCAGCCAGACAGCCCACCAUGAAUCAGGUCAUUUUCCUGUGUCAUUAUGAAGAAAGCCUUAUCCCACUUUACAUAGCUGUUGCUUUGGUACAUUAAAGCAGAAAUCUGCCAAAGGAGCCACUGACUGCCCCAGGAGCAUUUGUUGUUUUGAGGAAAUGAGCACCCAGCAUUGUGGUGUAAAAAAAUCAACGUGCAUACUCUGCUGUUCUAUCGCUCGUGCAAUGAUGUCUGAGGGAUUUUUGUUGGUGUUUGAAGUCUUUGUUGUAAUAUGUGUUCCACCAAUUAGGUGCCUUUUUGAGUAUUGUUACUUUACGAGAAACUUUUAGAGAAAAAAAGCCCCAGUUUUACAGUAUUUCACCUAAUUUUAACAUUCUUCAAUAAAGAGCACACAUUCUUAAUUAUUUUACAACAUCAACAGAUAAAAAUAAAAACCAUAGCAAGUGCCAAAUAAAGUGCCUUCAUCUUAAAUCAGCCCUAAAUCCCCUUGUGGCGGGGUAAUGGAAGCUGGUGUGCAGCAGGAAAGGGCAAUUGAAUUCAAGCGUAAAAUAUUUCUAGCCUGUAUCUAUAGCUAACAGGGUUGACAUGUUGUGCUUGACCCUUGCUGUUUUCCACCACAAAACACCAGGUUUUAUUUUCUUGUAUUUUUUAUUUUUACAAAUAACUUAAUUCUAUAUCAGCAUUUUGACAUGUCCAUCAUUGUCUCACGUCAGAUCAGUGCAGAUGGCUGUUGCACUGACCUGAGACAAAGGGAGAUGUUACAAUGCUGAAUUUUGGCACGCCUAUUAUUUUUUAAAUGCAAUAUUUAUGCACAAUUUCUACUUAAAAUAUCAAAGGGCACUUCUAUCCUUUGACCAAUAUCGCAAAUGAACUCGGCAUUUUCACUGCUAUGGAUUGCAGCUUUAAGCAUAAAGUGAACCAAGUGUCAGUUUGAGUCUAAACAGAUUAGUCUUAUAGUUUUUCCAUUCUAUUACUGUUGUUGAGGAAUCAGUGUACAAAACAUUAGGAACACCUUGUCUUUCCAUAAGACUGCCCAGGUGAAAGCUAUGAUCCCAUAUUGAUGUCACUAGUUAAAUCCACUUCAAUCAGUGUAGAUGAAUUGGACGAGACGGGUUAAAGAAGGAUUUUUAAGAUAUCCAGUGCUGUGCCAUCUAGACUGCAAUUCCCCAUUCAACCUCUAGGUUUACUUUCUGUUCAACAAUAUUCAGUACUUCACUGCACUAUUGACUUCAUCUACUUUGUCUCUGUCUUUGAAAUGUCAAUGUUUUUUCUUAUUAAAUCAUGGAAAUUGGAAAUGUUCUCAUAUUUCUGUUAGGGAAUGGGGGUGGGCCUUAAAGUUAACCUUGAGGUUUGUUUGUGUACUUGAAGUGAGAAUGUAGGCCUGUCUAUUUCCUCUUUGUAACAUAACAUUCUGAAUAACAGAAAAUGUAAGUACUGUAGCAUUGACAUUAAAA